AUAAAGAAUUUCGGUCAUGUUUUCCAGCUAGAAAUAAUCAGCCAAAUUAAAGAAGGUAUUUUAGGGGCUGAGAAUAGGAUGUUAGAGGCAGGACUUAAAGUUUCAGAGAGGUGAGAUAUGAAGAUGUUUAUUUCACCUUAAAUAUAAAAAAAAAAAAAAUGGGUGACUCAACAUGCGACAACAACACAAGAAGUAUUGUUCCCUCACAAACCUUGUUUCUCUCACAUUCCUAGACCACCAUGGCUUUAUCAACAAUGUGUCUUAACACAGAGGACAACAUGCAAUGCUGAGAUAGGCAGAUUUUUUCUAGUUUAGUGAAUGGGGAAAAUAUGGCCAAAUUGUUUUGCACUUGGAAGAGACUGACGGAAUCAAAACAAAUUGGUAGCCUCACCUUAUGUAGAGCCUUACAGAUAAUGUAAAGAUAUUCACCCAGAGGACAGAGGAACCAGAGACAGCAAAAGGUGAAAAGCAUCAUUCAAAUGGAGUCCUCGUGUCCAGUUGUUGCUCCUCAAACACCCACAAAGACUUGAUUCAUGGGAGAUGUUAACGUCCCUGACAGAGGACUGCCUAUGACAUCUUUUAAUGUGGGGAAGCUGGUGCACACAAACUUGACAGGAAGGAGACCUGAAGCCACUGACAAGGAUAUGCAAGACAACCGAAGAUCUCCAUUCUGCUGCAACCCUCAUCCGCCUUCACAGUUGCAGAGUACCAGGAGGACAAGACUUAGACAACAUAGCUCUGAGGGUCAUUGGAACACACAAGCUUCUCCACCACAACAAGGUUACAGUCCAAGGAGUGGACUCUUUACAUAUCUUCAAGCAAACAAGUUUAGCAAAAUCAUAGAACUGGCAGUUCCAAGGAAGCACCUAAGAUGAAAAAAAUUAAAUCUUCUUUGGUACAAUCAGCCAUGAUGAUCUCAAUUGAAGCCCUAAAAAGAUCAACUAAGUCUCUGGAAAAUAUAUUUGAAUCAUCCAUAGCCUAUCCACCAAUCAAUUUCUCAUCUGGUCAGGAUGUUCUCAUCUGCCCAUUUCACCAAGCAUUCAAUAUACCAUUCACACAAAGAAGUUGUACCUUUAAAAGCCCACUACCACCAUGCUACACACUUUCCUUUCCUUAUGCUAUUAUCAAGAAAAAAAGCAACUUCCUCAGCACAAUGAAAUAAAUCAAAGCUUGACAACAAUGAGCUUAAUGGCCAAUGCUUCUUUACAAAAACAAUGGGCCUCACCAAUGGUUCCCGCCAAAAUGAUGGGAACCUCUCUCCCUGGAAAAUGUUGAUCCUAAAACAAGAGGUA